AUGUUAUAUUCCAGAGUCCCACCUUGGCAGCUAGAGGAGAGGCUCCGCCCCAUCACCGUGAUGGCAGCGUUGCCGCGGUACGCCACCCCCAUGUCUGUGCCUGGCAUGUUGCUCCUCCCCCUGCUCCUGCUGCCCCUCCCCAUCGCGCUGUCCCAGAAACUCCUGCUCCUCUCCCCACCCGACCCCACGCCCGCCUCCCUGUACCUUUCCCGGCCGGAGUGCACCCGGAGAGAGCACCCUGUGGUCACCUUCCAAGGUAAGUCGUACUGGACACAAUACUCAUUACAGGACACGCAUUUCUGGACAUCCACACUGAAGGUCUCUUCUCUCACUACUGAAUACAAAUGGGAAUAUUUAAGCAAUAAGGCCCAAGGGAGUGUGAUAUUUGGCCAAUAUACCAUGGCUAAGGACUGUUCUUAUGCACAAUGCAAUAAGGAGUGCCUGCAUACAUCCCUUAGCCGUGGUAUAUUGGUCAUAUACCACAUACACCCCCCACCCCCCAAGGUGCCUUAUUGAUAUUAUAAACUGGUUACAAACGUAAUUAGAGCAGUAAAAAUAAAUGUUUUGUCAUACCCGUUGUAUACAUUCCAAUAUACCACGACUGUCAGCCAAUCAGCAUUCAGGGCUCGAACCACCCAGUACUUAGACCACUUUUGUUUACUACUAGUCUUUGACAUCUGUCACAGAUCCUCCAUGGCUUCUAUAACCAUAAGGACUUGGGAUGAUCUCACCUUUACAUUCCAAGUGUUUUAAAUGUCUGAGGGGGUGUUGGCCAAAUGUGUUAGAAAUGAUUAUUGGAAUUAUAUUCUAGAUAAUGGUUUCUCUAGGCUCUUCUUCUUGAACAAAAGUUUGGUUGAAAUUGUGUGACCUAAGAUUUUUUUUCCAAAGGGAAGAGUGUGAAACUGUAUACCCAUUAUGAUUCAAUUAUUACAGACUCCAAGCCUAACAGGUUAGAGUGAGGAGCACCCCAUUGUACAGACAGGUUUUAAAUCUCUCAUAUGACACUAUACAGAGAGACAGAGAGAUGCUUUAUGUUGAUGCCAGCCCCAUUUGACAGAAACAUCAGUCUUACCGGGAGAUAAACACUUUUCAUUUCCAUCUGUCUGUCUGCCAGCUUCAAUAAUUCCAAACGUUGCAUGGUUCACACACACACAUGCACGUACACACAAAUCUGAACAGAGAGAACGUUGCGUACAGUGAUACCCUCCUAUCUGCUCUNNNNNNNNNNNNNNNNNNNNNNNNNNNNNNNNNNNNNNNNNNNNNNNNNNNNNNNNNNNNNNNNNNNNNNNNNNNNNNNNNNNNNNCCCAGGGGUUAUCAACACCCUCCUACACUUUUAGAGCGUAAACUGCUCUCAACACUACUCUCACUCUCUUCGAGCACGCCUGCAGGUACACACACAAGAACAGGCACACACGCAUGUAGCAUGUACUACACUCCAACUCCCUGGCUCUCCUCACAUGUUCAGCACGACACAACAUACUCCCCCAGACAUAGAGAAAGCAUGCCAGGUAACACAUGCUAGUUAGUUAGAGGCCCCUGGAGAACCACUUCACUUAACCACACUCUGAUAUGGCUGUUGCAAUGUGUGACUGUUUUGACAGUAUUUAGGGAAUGUGGUGUGUGAAGGUUGUUAAAGAGUCAGUGAACACCCUGAUUGGCGUGUGUGUUUCCCCGAUGAGACGUGUUUCCCCGAUGAGACGUGUGUUUCGCAGAUGAGACGUGUGUUUCCCUGAUGAGACGUGUGUUUCCCCGAUGAGACGUGUGUUUCCCCGAUGAGACGUGUGUUUCCCCGAUGAGACGUGUGUUUCGCAGAUGAGACGUGUUUCGCCGAUGAGACGUGUUUCCCCNNNNNNNNNNNNNNNNNNNNNNNNNNNNNNNNNNNNNNNNNNNNNNNNNNNNNNNNNNNNUUUCCUUAUUAUCGGAGAUAUGCCCAAACCUCUUAAAGCAAUGGGUAAUAUGAACAUUUCCUGGGGCCCUGCCUGAUUUUUAUUGCAGGGCACCAUUCUGAUGGUGUUUCUUUAGGGGCCAGUUUAUCAAUGUUAUCAUGAGGUCCUCCAGGGUCCAGGAAGAGGGCUGGAAGUCAAGGAGGAUGCUUUUUUGCAUUACAAAAAAAACAAAGCCUAUACGAUUCACUCAUUGAUUUGAAAUGAUAAAAUGUUCCAUUUACAUCAAAUUUGAAAAGUAGAAAAACAACAGAGGAUAUAGUUGAAACUAUUAAAUAUCAACAUUUCAGCACAAGGCCAUUCUCAAGACUUUCUCAAUAUCUGUCAUGUUAAAACACUGGGCAAAAACUGAUUGAAUCAAUGUUAUUUCCACAAAAUAAAAAAUAAACUAUGUGAUGACGUUGAAUCAAUGUGAAAAACGGAUUGGAUUUGUUGUCAUCAACGUAAAGGAAUUAUUAUUAUUUUUAAAGCACAUUUGACCUAAAUCCAAUUUCAUGGUGAAAUGUUUUGUUAAGUUAAUGGUGGAUUCACUUUAGUUGACAACACAACCAAUUGUAAAUAAAAAAACAGACUAAUGUUUGUGCCCAAUGGGAAGUUGGCUGGAUCAAAAAUAUCCUUAAUCAUUUCACUCAGCAUCAUUCAUACAAAGCUACACUAUACAGUUGAAGUUGGAAGUUUACAUACACUUAGGUUGGAGUCAUUAAAACUUGUUUUUCAACCACUCCACAAAUUUCUUGUUAACAAACUAUAGUUUUGGCAAGUCGGUAAAGACAUCUACUUUGUGCAUGACACAAGUCAUUUUUCCAACAAUUGUUUACAGACAGAUUAUUUCACUUAUAUUUCACUGUAUCACAAUUCCAGUGGGUCAGAAGUUUACAUACACUAAGUUACCUGUGCCUUUAAACAGCUUGGCAAAUUCCAGAAAAUUAUGUAAUGGCUUUAGAAGCUUCUGAUAGGCUAAUUGACAUAAUUUGAGUGAAUUGGAGGAUGUAUUUCAAGGCCUGCCUUCAAACUCAGUGCCUCUUUGCUUGACAUGGGAAAAUCAAAAGAAAUCAGCCAAGACCUCAGAAAAAAAUUUGUAGACCUCAACAAGUCUGGUUCAUCCUUGGGAGCAAUUCCCAAAUGCCUGAAGGUACCAUGUUCAUCUGUACAAACAAUAGUAUGCAAGUAUAAACACCAUGGGACCAUGCAGCCAUCAUACCGCUCAGGAAGGAGACAUGUUCUGUCUCCUAGAGAUGAACUUACUUUGGUGUGAAAAGUGAAAAUCAUUCCCAGAACAACAGCAAAGGACAUUGUGAAGAUUCUGGAGGAAACAGGUGCAAAAUUAUCAAUAUCCACAGUAAAACGAGUCCUAUGUCGACAUAACCUGAAAGGCCACGCAGCAAGGAAGAAGCCACUGCUCCAAAACCGCCAUAUAAAGACAGACUACGGUUUGCAACUGCACAUGGGGAGGAAGAUUGUACUUUUUGGAGAAAUGUCUUCUGGUCUGAUGAAACAAAAAUAGAACUGUUUGGCCAUAAUGACCAUCGUUAUGUUUGGAGGAAAAAGGGGAGGCUUGCAAGCCGAAGAACACCAUCCCAACCGUGAAGCACGGGCGUGGCACAUCAUGUUGUGGUGGUGCUUUGCUGCAGGAGGGACUGGUGCACUUCGCAAAAUAGAUGAGGUAGGAAAAUGAUGUGGAUUUAUUGAAGCAACAUCUCAAGACACCAGUCAGGAAGUUAAAGCUUGGUCGCAAAUGGGUCUUCCAAAUGGACAAUGACCCCAAGCAUACUUCCAAAGUUGUGGCAAAAUGGCUUAAGGACAACAAAGUCAAGGUAUUGGAGUGGCCAUCACAAAGCCCUGACCUCAAUCCCAUAGAAAAUGUGUUGGCAGAACUGAAAAAGCGUGUGCGAGCAAGGAGACCUACAAACCUGACUCAGUUACACCAGCUCUGUCAGGAGGAAUGGGCCAAAAUUGACCCAAUUUAUUGUGGGAAGCUUGUGGAAGGCUACCCCAAAAAAUUGACCCAAGUUAAACAAUUUAAAGGCAAUGCUAGCAAAUACUAAUUGAGUGUAUGUAAACUUCUGACCCACUGGCAAUGUGAUGACAGGAAUAAAAGCUAUAUUGAAUCAUUCUCUCUACUAUUAUUCUGACAUUUCACAUUCUUAAAAUAAAGUGGUGAUCCUACCUGACCUAAAACAGGGAAUUUUUACUAGGAUUAAAUGUCAGGAAUUGUGAAAAACUGAGUUUAAAUGUAUUUGGCCAACAAUUGUAAGUUUACGAUUGGCUCGUUCAUCCCCCUCCUCUCCCCUGUAACUAUUCCCUAGGUCGUUUUUGUAAAUGAGAACGUGUUCUCAGUCAACUUAGUCAACCUGGUAAAAUAACAGACUCCCCUUCAAAUUAGUGCAUUUGGCUAUUUCAGCCACACCUUUUGCUGACAGCUAUAUGAAACACAGCCAUGACAUCUUCAUAGAAAAACCUUGGCAGCAGAAUGGCCUUACUGCUGAGCUCAGUGACUUUCAACGUGGCACUGUCAUAGGAUGCUACCUUUCCAACAAGUCAGUUCGUCAAAUUUCUCCCCUUCUAGAGCUGCCCCGGUCAACUGCAUAAACAUUGUCUGUCCUCAGCUGUAACACUCCCUGUGGAGUUCCAAACUGCCACUGGAAGCAACAUCAUCACAAGAACUGUUCGUCGGGAGCUUCAUGAAAUGGGUUUUCAUGGCUGUGCAGCUGAUAACACAAGCCUAAGAUCCCCAUGCGCAAUGCCAAGGGUCGGCUGGAGUGGUGUAAAGCUCGUCGCAAUUGGACAGCAGUGAAAACGUGUUCUCUGGAGUGAUGAAUCACACUUCAUCAUCUGGCAGUCGACGGACGAAUCUGGGUUUGGUGGAUGCCAGGAGAACGCUACCUUCCUUAAUGCCAAAUGUCAACUGUAAAGUUUGGUGGAGCAGGAAUAAUGUUCUGGGGCUGUUUUUCAUGGUUCGGGCUUGGCCCCUAAGUUCCAGUGAAGAGAAAUGUUAAAGCUACAGCAAACAAUGACAUUCUAGACGGUUCUGUGCUUCCAUCUUUUGGGCAACAGUUUGGGGAAGGCCGUUUUCUGUUUCAGCAUGACAACACCCCCGUGCACAAAGCGAGGUCCAUACAGAAAUGUUUUGUCGAGAUCGUUGUGGAAGAUCCUCACUGGCCUGCAAAGACCCCUGGCAUCAACCCCAUCAAACACCUUUGGGAUGAAUUGGAACACCGACUGCAAGCCAGGCCUAAUCACCCAACAUCAGUGCCCGACCUCACUAAUGCUCUUGCGGCAGAAUGGCAGCAAGUCCCCGCAGCAAUGUUCCAACAUCUAGUGGAAAGACUUCUCAGAAGAGUGGAGGCUGUUAUGGCAGAACAGGGGGGACCAACUCUAUAUAAAUGCCCAUGAUUUUGGAAUGAGAUGUUUGACAAGCAGGUGUCCACAUACUUUUGGUCAUGUAGUGUACCUUCAGACCGUGCUUACAGCUACACUACCAGAUAAUCC
rnacentral:lncRNA from 13 species